rnacentral:rRNA from 1 species
AUCGAACGCUGGCGGCGUGUUUAAUGCAUGCAAGUCGAACGGGGCUUGCGGGAGCUUGCUCCUGCAAACCUAGUGGCGGACGGGUGAGUAACACGUGAGCAACCUGCCUUUCGGAGGGGGAUAACAGUAGGAAACUUCUGCUAAUACCGCAUAAUGUGCGAUGGCGGCAUCGCCGACGCACCAAAGAUUUAUCGCCGAAGGAUGGGCUCGCGUCUGAUUAGCUAGUUGGUGGUGUAAUGGACCACCAAGGCGACGAUCAGUAGCCGGACUGAGAGGUUGGCCGGCCACAUUGGGACUGAGAUACGGCCCAGACUCCUACGGGAGGCAGCAGCAGAGAAUAUUGGGCAAUGGGGGCAACCCUGACCCAGCAACGCCGCGUGAAGGAAGAAGGCUUUCGAGUUGUAAACUUCUUUGACGAGGGACGAAAAAAAUGACGGUACCUCGAAAACAAGCCACGGCUAACUACGUGCCAGCAGCCGCGGUAAUACGUAGGUGGCAAGCGUUGAUCGGACUUACUGGGUGUAAAGGGCGCGUAGGCGGGUAUGCAAGUCAGAUGUGCAAUCUAUGGGCUUAACUCAUAAACUGCAUUUGAAACUGUAUACCUUGAGUGAUGGAGAGGCAGGCAGAAUUCCUAGUGUAGCGGUGAAAUGCGUAGAUAUUAGGAGGAAUACCAGUGGCGAAGGCGGCCUGCUGGACAUUAACUGACGCUGAGGNGUGGGGGGACUGACCCUCUCCGUGCCGGAGUUAACACAAUAAGUAUUCCACCUGGGGAGUACGGCCGCAAGGCUGAAACUCAAAGGAAUUGACGGGGCCCCGCACAAGCAGUGGAUUAUGUGGUUUAAUUCGAUGCUACACGAAGAACCUUACCAGGGCUUGACAUGGAGAUGACCGCCGUAGAGAUACGGUUUCCCCUUCGGGGGCAUCUCACACAGGUGGUGCAUGGUUGUCGUCAGCUCGUGUCGUGAGAUGUUGGGUUAAGUCCCGCAACGAGCGCAACCCCUGUUGCUAGUUGCUACGAGAGAGCACUCUAGCGAGACUGCCGUUGACAAAACGGAGGAAGGAGGGGACGAUGUCAAAUCAUCAUGCCCUUUAUGUCCUGGGCUACACACGUAAUACAAUGGCGUUUAACAAUGGGAAGCGAAGCCGUGAGGCGGAGCGAAUCCCCAAAAGGCGUCUCAGUUCGGAUCGCAGGCUGCAACUCGCCUGCGUGAAGUCGGAAUUGCUAGUAAUCGCGGAUCAGCUAGCCGCGGUGAAUACGUUCCCGGGGCUUGUACACACCGCCCGUCACACCAUGAGAGCCGGGGACACCCGAAGCCCGUAGCCUAACCUUUUGGAGGGCGCGGUCGAAGGUGGAUUUGGUAAUUGGGGUG